GUCUAUGGCCAUACCACCCUGAGCAUACACCCUGAGCACAUCUCGGAAGCUAAGCAGGGUCGGGCCUGGUUAGUACUUGGAUGGCAGAUAGUAGGAAGGGAAAAGAAGGACUGGAAGAGU
rnacentral:rRNA from 1 species